rnacentral:rRNA from 1 species
UACGGGGGGGGCAAGCGUUGUUCGGAAUUACUGGGCGUAAAGGGCUCGUAGGCGGCCAACUAAGUCGGACGUGAAAUCCCCAGGCUCAACCUGGGAACUGCGUCCGAUACUGGAUGGCUUGAAUCCGGGAGAGGGAUGCGGAAUUCCAGGUGUAGCGGUGAAAUGCGUAGAUAUCUGGAGGAACACCGGUGGCGAAGGCGGCAUCCUGGACCGGCAUUGACGCUGAGGAGCGAAAGCCAGGGGAGCAAACGGG